rnacentral:rRNA from 1 species
UGGGGAAUUUUGGACAAUGGGCGAAAGCCUGAUCCAGCAAUGCCGCGUGUGUGAAGAAGGCCUUCGGGUUGUAAAGCACUUUUGUCCGGAAAGAAAUCCUUGGCUCUAAUACAGUCGGGGGAUGACGGUACCGGAAGGAUAAGCACCGGCUAACUACGUGCCAGCAGCCGCGGUAAUACGUAGGGUGCAAGCGUUAAUCGGAAUUACUGGGCGUAAAGCGUGCGCAGGCGGUUUGCUAAGACCGAUGUGAAAUCCCCGGGCUCAACCUGGGAACUGCAUUGGUGACUGGCAGGCUAGAGUAUGGCAGAGGGGGGUAGAAUUCCACGUGUAGCAGUGAAAUGCGUAGAGAUGUGGAGGAAUACCGAUGGCGAAGGCAGCCCCCUGGGCCAAUACUGACGCUCAUGCACGAAAGCGUGGGGAGCAAACAGGAUUAGAUACCCUGGUAGUCCACGCCCUAAACGAUGUCAACUAGUUGUUGGGGAUUCAUUUCCUAGUAACGUAGCUAACGCGUGAAGUUGACCGCCUGGGGAGUACGGUCGCAAGAUUAAAACUUAAAUGAAUUGACGGGGUCAUAGCUGUUUCCU